rnacentral:rRNA from 1 species
CAGUCGCCGCGGUAAUACGAAGGGUGCAAGCGUUACUCGGAAUUACUGGGCGUAAAGCGUGCGUAGGUGGUGGUUUAAGUCCGUUGUGAAAGCCCUGGGCUCAACCUGGGAAUGGCAGUGGAUACUGGCUCGCUAGAGUGUGUCAGAGGAUGGUGGAAUUCCCGGUGUAGCGGUGAAAUGCGUAGAGAUCGGGAGGAACAUCAGUGGCGAAGGCGGCCAUCUGGGACAACACUGACGCUGAGGCACGAAAGCGUGGGGAGCAAACAGGAUUAGAUACCCGCGUAGUCCCUGUCUCUUAUAC